rnacentral:rRNA from 1 species
CCUACGGGAGGCAGCAGUGAGGAAUAUUGGGCAAUGGACGAGAGUCUGAACCAGCCAAGUAGCGUGAAGGAUGACUGCCCUAUGGGUUGUAAACUUCUUUUAUAUGGGAAUAAAACGUUCCACGUGUGGGAUUUUGUAUGUACCAUAUGAAUAAGGAUCGGCUAACUCCGUGCCAGCAGCCGCGGUAAUACGGAGGAUCCGAGCGUUUUCCGGAUUUAUUGGGUUUAAAGGGAGCGUAGGUGGAUUGUUAAGUCAGUUGUGAAAGUUUGCGGCUCAACCGUAAAAUUGCAGUUGAAACUGGCAAUCUUGAGUACAGUAGAGGUGGGCGGAAUUCGUGGUGUAGCGGUGAAAUGCUUAGAUAUCACGAAGAACUCCGAUUGCGAAGGCAGCUCACUGGACUGCAACUGACACUGAGGCUCGAAAGCGUGGGUAUCGAACAGGAUUAGAUACCCGAGUAGUC